UGGGGAAUAUUGCACAAUGGGCGAAAGCCUGAUGCAGCAACGCCGCGCGAGUGAUGAAGGCCUUCGGGUUGUAAAGCUCUGUCUUUUGGGACGAUAAUGACGGUACCAAAGGAGGAAGCCACGGCUAACUACGUGCCAGCAGCCGCGGUAAUACGUAGGUGGCGAGCGUUGUCCGGAUUUACUGGGCGUAAAGGAUGCGUAGGCGGAUAUUUAAGUGAGAUGUGAAAUACCCGGGCUUAACUUGGGUGCUGCAUUUCAAACUGGAUAUCUAGAGUGCAGGAGAGGAGAAUGGAAUUCCUAGUGUAGCGGUGAAAUGCGUAGAGAUUAGGAAGAACACCAGUGGCGAAGGCGAUUCUCUGGACCGUAACUGACGCUGAGGCAUGAAAGCGUGGGUAGCAAACAG
rnacentral:rRNA from 1 species